AGAAGGGUGAUAGGAUGAGCCCAAUAUGAAGGCCUAUGUAUGUUAUUAAUAGUUUUGAAACAUAGUUUGUAGCUGUCGGGAAAGUACAUGAGAUAUAGAGUCCAGUUGCAAUUUGCUGGCUUUGAUUUGUUCCCAUUUGCCUACGAGCCUCGCCACAUGACUAGAGAACUUUUAUCGAGGUCACCAACUCGCGGAGGGCAAGUUCAUCUCCAAACGUCAAUAAUUUAAAUCACUUGUUAAGCCUCACAUUAGGAGUGUUUGUGAUGCCCAAAAGCUCAUAAUAUUCACUCGAAUCCGGUAAAAUUAUGCCUGACCCAGUUUUGAAAAAGCAGCCCAAACAUAAGUGGGCAUUUUAGAA